rnacentral:tRNA from 1 species
CAUUAAGUGGCUGAAAGUAAGUAAUGAUCUCUUAAAUCAAUUAAUAGUAAUUUGCGAAUACUCUUAAUGA